rnacentral:rRNA from 1 species
GCGACAGGCUAACACAUGCAAGUCGAGGGCAUCACGGGAGUAGCAAUACAACUGGUGGCGACCGGCGCACGGGUGAGUAACGCGUAUCGCAACCUACCUAUCGAGAGGGGAAUAACCCGGCGAAAGUCGGACUAAUACCGCAUAAAACAGGGGCACCGCAUGGUGAUAUUUGUUAAAGAAAUUCGCUGAUAGAUGGGCAUGCGUUCCAUUAGGUAGUUGGUGAGGUAACGGCUCACCAAGCCGACGAUGGAUAGGGGAACUGAGAGGUUGGUCCCCCACACUGGUACUGAGACACGGACCAGACUCCUACGGGAGGCAGCAGUGAGGAAUAUUGGUCAAUGGGCGGGAGCCCGAACCAGCCAAGUCGCGUGAAGGAAGAAGGAUCUAUGGUUCGUAAACUUCUUUUGCAGGGGAAUAAAGUGCAGGACGUGUCCUGUUUUGUAUGUACCCUGAGAAUAAGGAUCGGCUAACUCCGUGCCAGCCGCCGC